rnacentral:lncRNA from 1 species
GGGAAGCACACAGGCGGAGUGGCGAGCCAGUGAAUGGGAGGCUCUCCUGCAGCGGGGGCACCUUAGAGGCUGGUUGUGUGGGCCAAGAAUGCACUCGAAGAGCAGGAACAGAGUUUGCAAGGGGGGCUGCCGGUGUCCACGGGAACCGUGGCAGGCCAGACACACCCAUCCCUGGAGAAGCAGAAGGUCGGCUAGGAGCUAUGAACAUCCUUGCUGAGCCCCAGAAGUGAGGAGCAACAGGGGAGGAAGGAGGCUCCUAUCUUGAAGCUGUUGGGCACCUACGCAAGUGGCACAGGGAGGGGCAGGGUGUUGGCUCCGAGUGAGAGAUUUGCUUAAGCCAGAUGGUGGCCGAUGAAGGAGGCCCAGGCAACCCCUUCUGGUCUUCCAGACAGCACCACAGGUAGACCAGAAAAGAAGCCACUGAUGGAAUGCUGCAAGAAGGGGUUUACCAUGCGGUGUGAUUUCUGGGACCCCUUCUUCCCUGUUGAAAAUAUUUCACAGGCCCCCAGGACCUCCCCCAAAAGACAAGGGCAGAAACCAAAGAAAAUGCACUGUUCCAAUUUUGUCCAGGCUGCCUGUGGAAUGAGAAACCCAUGAGAAAGUUAUUGAGACUUCAGUUUUCUAUUCCUCUCCUUAUCCGGCCUCAUUACCUCCCCAACCCCUGAGAGAAAAAAUAAAUAAUUCACAAACAAAGGA